rnacentral:pre_miRNA from 1 species
CUAAUACUCCCUCCGUUCCAAAUUACUCGUCGUAGAAAUGGAUGUAUCUAGAACUAAAAUACAUCUAGAUACAUUCAUACCUGCGACAAGUAAUUCGGAACGGAGGGAGUAGAUG